CCUACGAGGGGCUGCAGUGGGGAAUAUUGGACAAUGGGGGGAACCCUGAUCCAGCCAUGCCGCGUGUGUGAAGAAGGCCCUCGGGUUGUAAAGCACUUUCAGUGAGGAAGAACGCCUGGUGGUUAAUACCCAUCAGGAAAGACAUCACUCACAGAAGAAGCACCGGCUAACUCCGUGCCAGCAGCCGCGGUAAUACGGAGGGUGCGAGCGUUAAUCGGAAUUACUGGGCGUAAAGCGCGCGUAGGUGGCUUGAUAAGCCGGUUGUGAAAGCCCCGGGCUCAACCUGGGAACGGCAUCCGGAACUGUCAAGCUAGAGUGCAGGAGAGGAAGGUAGAAUUCCCGGUGUAGCGGUGAAAUGCGUAGAGAUCGGGAGGAAUACCAGUGGCGAAGGCGGCCUUCUGGACUGACACUGACACUGAGGUGCGAAAGCGUGGGUAGCAAACAGGAUUAGAUACCCCAGUAGUC
rnacentral:rRNA from 1 species